rnacentral:rRNA from 1 species
UACGGAGGAUGCAAGCGUUAUCCGGAUUCAUUGGGUUUAAAGGGUGCGCAGGCGGGUUUGUAAGUCAGUGGUGAAAGACUGCCGCUUAACGGUAGAGGUGCCAUUGAUACUGCAGAUCUUGAGUUUGGAUGAGGUAAGCGGAAUGUGCAGUGUAGCGGUGAAAUGCAUAGAGAUUGCACAGAACUCCGAUUGCGAAGGCAGCUUACUAAACCAAUACUGACGCUGAGGCACGAAAGCGUGGGGAGCGAACAGGAUUAGAUACCCUGGUAGUCCACGCUGUAAACGAUGUUCACUCGCUGUUUGCGAUAUACAGUAAGCGGCUGAGCGAAAGCAUUAAGUGAACCACCUGGGGAGUACGAUCGCAAGGUUGAA